GGGGGUGUAAGCUCAGUGGUUAGAGUACAUGCUUAGCAUGCACGAGGUCCUGGGUUUAAUCCCCAGUACCUCCA
rfam:Camelus ferus unplaced genomic scaffold scaffold1748, whole genome shotgun sequence.